AGAGUUUGAUCCUGGCUCAGGAUGAACGCUAGCGGCAGGCCUAACACAUGCAAGUCGAGGGGCAGCGCGAUGUAGCAAUACAUUGGCGGCGACCGGCAAACGGGUGAGGAACACGUACGCAAUCUGCCUCAUUCUGGGGGAUAGCCCGGUGAAAACCGGAUUAAUACCCCAUAGUAUAUUGAGAAGGCAUCUUUUUGAUAUUAAAGCUUUAUUGCGGAAUGAGAUGAGCGUGCGUCUGAUUAGGUAGUUGGUAGGGUAACGGCCUACCAAGCCGACGAUCAGUAGCUGAUGUGAGAGCAUGAUCAGCCACACGGGCACUGAGACACGGGCCCGACUCCUACGGGAGGCAGCAGUGAGGAAUAUUGGGCAAUGGACGCAAGUCUGACCCAGCCAUGCCGCGUGAAGGAUGAAGGCGUUCUGCGUUGUAAACUUCUUUUAUAAGGGAAGAAACCUGCGAUUUUCAUUGCAGCCGACGGUACCUUAUGAAUAAGCACCGGCUAACUCCGUGCCAGCAGCCGCGGUAAUAC
rnacentral:rRNA from 1 species